rnacentral:miRNA from 1 species
GGGGCAGCGGGGGCGAGAGCGUGUGUGUGUGUGUGUGUGUGUGUGUGCGCGCGCGUGUGGAAGGCGGCUGCAGACGCC